GUGCUUGCUUCAGCAGCAUAUACAGUAAGUAACAUUGUAACAGUACAGAGAAGAUGGUCAAGGUUUCUGUGCAAGGAUGGCAUGAAAAUUUGUGAAGUGAUCCUGAUUUUU
ensembl:snRNA U6 U6 spliceosomal RNA